CCUGAACGCUGGCGGCGUGGCUAAGACAUGCAAGUCGCACGGUGUAGCAAUACACAGUGGCGAACGGGUGAGUAAUGAAUCGCUAAUGUACCCCGGACUCUGGGAUAGCUACCCGAAAGGGUAGGUAAUGCCAGAUGAGACCACGGCAUCGCAUGAUGUUGUGCUCAAAGGUCCGCCGGUCUGGGAGCAGGCGAUUUCGUAUCAGCUAGUUGGGAGGUAACGGCUCACCAAGGCGACGACGCGUAGCCGGACUGAGAGGUUGGCCGGCCACAUUGGGACUGAGACACUGCCCAGACUCCUACGGGGGGCUGCAGUAACGAAUCUUCCGCAAUGCACGAAAGUGUGACGGAGCGACGCCGCGUGUAGGACGAA
rnacentral:rRNA from 1 species